AUGGCCGCCGAGGAGCCCAAGAAGGUGGAGGUGGAGGCGGCGCCGGAGCCGGAGGCCGUCCCUGCCGCGGAGCCCGAGGCCCCCGCCAAGGACGUCACCGAGGAGAAGGCCGUCAUCCCGGCGCCCGAGCCGGCCGCCGAGGAGGAGAAGCCCCCCGCCGAUGACUCCAAGGCCCUCGUCGUCGUCGAGAAGGUUGCAGAUGAACCUGUUGCUGAGAAACCCACAGACGAGAAGGCUGCACACGGCGGCUCAAAUGACAGAGACCUCGCUCUUGCAAGGGUGGAAAGUGAGAAGAGGAACUCUUUAAUUAAAGCAUGGGAGGAGAAUGAGAAGACAAAGGCUGAGAACAAGGCUACUAAAAAGGUAUCCGCUAUUCUCUCAUGGGAGAACACCAAGAAAGCAAACAUAGAAGCUCAACUGAAGAAGAUUGAGGAGCAAUUGGAAAAGAAGAAGGCGGAAUACGCCGAGAAGAUGAAGAACAAGGCGGCAAUGAUUCACAAGGAGGCCGAAGAGAAGAGAGCGAUGGUCGAGGCAAAGAAAGGGGAGGAACUCCUCAAGGCCGAGGAGAUGGCCGCCAAGUACCGCGCCACCGGCAACUCUCCCAAGAAAGUCAUGGGAUGCUUCGGGGCCUGA
rnacentral:rRNA from 1 species